AAAAAUAUUGGUCCCACCAUGGGGAGAGAACAAUCCGUUACGUUUGCUGUGGUCCGGGGAGUUACUAUGAGCGGUCCGUGCAUUAGCAAGAUGAUAAAAGUGCCGAAACGUUGUAGUGUGAUGGGCUGUACAAAUAACAAUGCUAAGAACCCAUAUUUUAUGUCCUCGCGCGCAAGAAAGCGAGGCAAUGAGGAGAAAAGAGUAGAUUCAGGCCAUUAAACAAUUAAACGUGAGUGGACCGUGUAAACGACCGGAUCCUGAAUCAAGACACCUCUAUAUUUGAAGUAAAUUAGUUAUUUAGUCAUCGAUCGGUGAUUGCAAAAACCAAAUGACACAAGGAAUGGCUGAAUGAAGAAACGCUGGGCCAAGUCCCUCUCCUUUGCUGCUGAUCUCAAAACAGACUCCUCCCUUAGGACUUGAGAAAAGCCAGGCUCCCUACUCCCAAGCCCAGGUCUCCACCGCAAUGAUAAUUUAUUGUUCAUGUUAAUUCAUUAAACAGUUGCCCGUAAUACAUGGAAACCUUUGGUCUCAGCUCUGAGGUAGGUAACUCAGGAGGACAUAAUUAUAUAUAAUUACCAACAGUAAGACACAUCUAUCCUAUCCAAACAUCCGAAACACAUUUUAACAAUUACAAACGUUUGCUCGGUUUUGCAAUCUGAAAUCUUUGCCGUUUUGGAGUUUUGGCUACAAUUUAUGCGGCCAUCAUGUUUAUAAUGGGCAGCCAUUGUCGCCCAGCAGAGACCCAUCCAAACGCGUGUCCCUCUGGAAGGUGCUGGGUGAUAUUUUGCAUUGCAAAUAAACUGGAUAUUAAUAAAACCCAGUCUCCUUUCAUUUCCCAUGGAUAGUUUUAUUGAAGGAUGAAGCAGGCCUCAGGAAGUGGCAUCAAGCACGCUUCUACUUUGAGCUUGUACUUCUACAGGAAGUCUUGCUUGGUUUCCUCUUGUUGUUUUCUGAAAUUCGUAGUUGCCAGGGUCUUUCCUGAAUAUGGCUGACAUUGUGUAAAGCAGAACCGACAGCAACAUGGGACACGAUGGUACACCACCUCAAGAAGAAUGACUCGGGUACAGAAAAUGAACACAACCGGCGGUUUUCAUGGUACUGGUAAAAACAUGCCAAAAAUCCUUACAGGGUAGGGGAAGAUACAGGUCAUUCACCCAUUCUCAUAUGUGGGAUGUUGCCCCUAGUUCCUGGUACAUUGUCUAUGACAUUUUUGAUUAAUUGCAGCCAAUGUGUAAUGCCCUGAGGGUAGUGUUACAUCCUGAGCGUGAUUACUGACAGACGUGUGGUGAAAUGCACCAGAAAUAGUGUUUUGCAAUGGAGGCAAUCCAGCGGUACACUGCAGACGCAAUUGCAAGGUUCGUCAAAAGGCCACUCCAGUGCGUUGAGGUGAAAUAUGUUUAAUUUAUUUUGUAGGCAAACCUAUCCAGAGGCUCAGAUUUACAAGGCCGAUAUUGCAUGAUGCAGUCAAUACAGAUCACAUUAUGACCAAGAGCAAUGGCCCAGAUUUAAAGAGGUCAUACCUAUAGCAAUACUCAAGAAGGUAAAAAGGGCUAAGUUAAAAUAAGUAAUAAAAAAAAUGAAAUCACUAUGUACAAAAUAAUCUUAACAGUACAUAGAGCUCACGCAUGCUUUGAAGGAUAUUAUGUGUGUGUGGGGAUAAAAUCAGAAUUAAAUAGUUAAUUUAAUUUUACACCAAGCAAGAUGGCUGGGUCUCCUAAAAUCAGUUUUCACUCUUGCCUGUUAGUUCAGCAUAACAACAUGGUCUAUAGCGCAUAAAACUGUAUAAUGAUGAAUGCAUGGUCAGCCUAAUUUCUGCUGGAUUUAGUGUUAGUUCUUCUCUAAGGGAGGUGGGGUAUUGAUUCAGUUGGUGGGGUGUUUGUUGUAAACAUUCAAAAUAUGAAUAUUAAUAAAUAAUCAUUUCAA